rnacentral:rRNA from 1 species
GGACGAACGCUGGCGGCGUGCUUAACACAUGCAAGUCGAGCGGUAAGGCCCUUUCGGGGGUACACGAGCGGCGAACGGGUGAGUAACACGUGGGUGACCUGCCCUCAGCUCUGGGAUAAGCCUGGGAAACCGGGUCUAAUACUGGAUAUGACUCCAUGACGCAUGUUGUGGGGUGGAAAGCCUUGUGCGGCUGAGGAUGGGCCCGCGGCCUAUCAGCUUGUUGGUGGGGUGANGGCCUACCAAGGCGACGACGGGUAGCCGGCCUGAGAGGGCGACCGGCCACACUGACACUGAAUAACGGGUCAGACUCCUACGGGAGGCAGCAGUCGGGAAUUUGGGCAAUGGGCGAAAGCCUGACCCAGCAACGCCGCGUGAAGGAUGAAGUAUUUCGGUAUGUAAACUUCGAAAGAAUAGGAAGAAUAAAUGACGGUACUAUUUAUAAGGUCCGGCUAACUACGUGCCAGCAGCCGCCGUAAG